rnacentral:sRNA from 12 species
UUCUGAAUAUCUUCAUAUACCGAACCGUGUGCAUAAAGCUCCUGACAGGGCUUCACGGACUGACGUGUGACGGAACGCCACCUAGACAGCUGAUAGGCUGCCUAAGGUAACAGAGCGUCUUAAAAGAGGGCAACUGAUUUUAAGGGAGUACGUAAGACACUUGGUACAACUUCAGGGCGUCAGGUGGGAUAGAAGGAUGAGGGAAAAGGCAGGAUGUUUGGGGCUGUUUCUGUAAAAUAGACGACCACGGUGUGGGAAUAACCGGUGAAUAUCAUAAGGCUUUGCAGGCUUAUGAGGAUAGCGGGAAAAAUGCAGGCAGAGAUUGUGCGGCUGAGCCGAACUAAAGUUCGGGUAAAAAGCCUGACAUCCGUAUACUGGCACAAGUCCGUACACAAUAUUUUAUUAUAAGACGAAUAAUAUAUAAUAUCUGAAUGUCGUGCUGGUGUUGGGGGUACAAAAUAAUCCCCUGUGUACAAGGUUGCGGUGAGAACCGUAAUUCGUAGGGAAGUAUUGGAGUCGCUAUCCAAUGCUCAGACCCUGCGAUACAGUGGCUGAAGAUUCCUGUUUCCUUUGAAGAUACGCUGAAUAAAAGGCGUGGUAUGUGGAGAUGUUCAG